rnacentral:lncRNA from 1 species
CCCUUUGUGAGGGAUAAACAUUCAGACCCUUGUAGCAGUGUUCUGGAAUCCUAUGUGAGGGACAAACACUCAGAACCCAGCAGCAGUGUUCUGGAAUCCUAUGUGAGGGACAAUCACUCAGAACCCAGCAGCAGUGUUCUAGAAUCCUUUGUGAGGGACAAACAUUCAGACCCUCGUAGCAGUGUUCUGGAAUCCUAUGUGAGAGACAAACAUACAGACCACAGCAGGAAUGUUCUGGAAUCCUAUGUGAGGGACAAACAUUCAGACCCUCGGAGCAGUGUUCUGGAAUCCUAUGUGAAGGACCAACAGUCAGAACCCAGUAGCAGUGUUCUGGAAUCCUAUGUGAGGGACAAGCAUUCAGAC